GAAUAUUUCAGGUGCAUGCGCAAAGACAGAAGAGCUUGAUUUUAUUGAGUGCAAACUAAGCAUGACAAACCCUAAAGUAAGUGUUGCUCCCCCUUGACAUCAUUCCACUCACCUUCUUCACCUUCCCAUCCCGAGGCAAAACCUACCAGUAUAUACAUUCUCUGCUUCUCCAUCACUUCUAUCCUCACUUCAUAUCUUCUAUCCUUCUCUUUCUCUCUAAGAAAAUUCUAGUAUUACUUUGAAUUCCUCCUACAUUUCAUUUGGUUAUAUAGUCACAUAUAUCAUUCAUUACUAAGCCAUUCCUUUUUAUUUAUUUAUUUAUUUUGGAAGCCAUGCAUGAAUAUAUGUUUUAUGUAUUCAUGGUCUAUUUAGGCAUCUCUAAACCUAGUUAAUAAGUAGCACUCAUCCUUAGAAAAGAAAGAAACCCUCCACCUGAUCGUCAUCAACGUGAGUUGUUAGUGUGGAUUACAACUACAAGUAAUGUUCAAGCUGUAUGUUGGAUAUAUAUAUCGACAAAUUACCAAAAACAAAACAAAAAACAAAAAAAUGCCUUUGUCUUUUGUCUAUUAUAUUUCCCAGUUUUUGAUCUACAUCUACCCGUGAUUUAGUAUGUGGAGAACCCACUUAUGUUUGCUAGGAAUAUAAAUCUAUUUAUGGGUUUUGUGCUUUCCACUUUAUUAGUUUUCAUUUAGGCAUGCUGCUAGCGCAUAUAUAGUUGCACCUGAAUGCAUUGAUAGUGACUCCCAUCAAGAAUUUAAAUUUGUGUGGUUAGUAUAGUGAUGUUCCUAAACAUCAACCAACCUUAUAUCACUGCCUUCUUCCUCCAGCUCCACCAUCAUGGUCGCAUUUCAUAUUCAUGCUUUACUUACAACAAGGACAUUCAAUAAUUGUGAUUAGGUGCAUAAUGGGACCAUAGGGGAUAUUGUUUAAUGUUGAAACGCCUUUUUCUUCCUUUUUGGUAGAUAGGCCAUUAGCUAGCUAGAGAGAGCCAUCCAUGAAAACAAAACCACUUGAACUUCUCAUUAACCCCCUCUAACGUAGUUCUAAAAUGGAUCUUGAAUAAGUGAGAUCAUAUCCAUAGAGGAGUAAUAUUAUUGCUCGAUCGGAUCAACUUGUGUUUUGUGCAUGUGUUUUUCAUCUUUUAUAUAAGAGAGAAUAUGAAGAUGAUGAUAAUGGUGAUAAUGUUUGGGAUAUGGGAAGCAGAGAAAGCGAUGUUGGUGAGGUUCAAUCCGAAGACGGAUUUACAUGUAGAAGCAGUAAAAUACGAUCUCAGAUUGAGCCGCGCCAAUAUCACUUUAUCAUUGAUGAGCCCCCCCAAUUGGUUGCUUUCCAACUCAUCCCAACUCAUCAGAUUCUCUUUUCAAAAUGUUUCCAAUAAUAUUGAUUAAUCUUGUCAUAACAAACAUUUCCCUCUUGGACCAAUCUUAGUUGGUGCUACCAGCAAAUCCAGAGAAGCUCAAGCUCAAGUGCAAUAUAAGAAUUGCCAUACGUGUAUACAGAUCUUUCUCAUGGAACACAGGGAAAUGAAUUGGAUUUGUAAGUGUAGCUUUAACAACUAUAAUAAAGAUAUGUAUAACACAGACUUUUGGCAGGUCCUAGAACAGUGAUUGGGUUGCCAUUGUACUAUUCAUUUCUCCCCAGUUAACGAGGAUGUUUACCUGUUUUUCACCAAGCAUGCGUCCUGUUCCAGAUUUCUAAUCUUGCUGAGGUAAAUAUUGUAUGUUGUAACCGAAAGAAUCUUGCUACCAAGUACACGGAUGAGGAGUACAGAGAUGUCUCCAUUUCUUUUACCAAAAAACAAACACCUCCAUGAUCCACUUUGUGGUGGACCCUUUGUUGAGUAUAAAUAUUGAUGAAAGAGAGUAGCUGUGGAAACAAAAACAAAAAAUAAUUAUUAAAGGGUAUGAACUUAACAACUUGAAGUUGCAAGAGCAUUGUGUUUCAAAAUCUUCUGGGACAAAGAAUAAAAGUUUGAUUGUUGCUAUCA